rnacentral:rRNA from 1 species
GACGUAGGGAGCGAGCGUUGUCCGGAUUCAUUGGGCGUAAAGAGCGCGCAGGCGGUUUGGUAAGUCGGAUGUGAAAACCCGGGGCUCAACCCCGGGCGUGCACCCGAUACUGCCCGACUAGAGGUAGGUAGGGGAGAUCGGAAUUCCUGGUGUAGCGGUGAAAUGCGCAGAUAUCAGGAGGAACACCGGUGGCGAAGGCGGAUCUCUGGGCCUUACCUGACGCUCAUGGACGAAAGCGUGGGGAGCGAACAGG